UGAUCUCAAAUCAGGUAGGACUACCCGCUGAACUUAAGCAUAUCAAUAAGCGGAGGAAAAGAAACUAACAAGGAUUCCCCUAGUAACUGCGAGUGAAGCGGGAAAAGCUCAAAUUUAAAAUCUGGCAGUCUUGGCUGUCCGAGUUGUAUUCUAGAGAAGUGCUUUCUGUGCUGGACCGUGUACAAGUCUCUUGGAACAGAGCGUCAUAGAGGGUGAGAAUCCCGUCUUUGAC
rnacentral:rRNA from 1 species